UGCUACAAAUACAUACAUGGUUAG
rnacentral:siRNA from 1 species